rnacentral:rRNA from 1 species
CCCUUCCUACGGGGGGCAGCAGUGAGGAAUAUUGGUCAAUGGGCUAAGGCCUGAACCAGCCAAGUCGCGUGAGGGAAGACGGUCCUAUGGAUUGUAAACCUCUUUUGUCGGGGAGCAACGAGGCCACGUGUGGCCGAAGUGAGAGUACCCGAGGAAAAAGCAUCGGCUAACUCCGUGCCAGCAGCCGCGGUAAUACGGAGGAUGCGAGCGUUAUCCGGAUUUAUUGGGUUUAAAGGGUGCGUAGGCGGGUUUUUAAGUCAGUGGUAAAAAUUCGGGGCUCAACCCCGUCCGGCCUUUGAA